UAAUUAUAAUUCUAACAUGACGUCCUUCAAACGCUUUGAGUACACACCCGUGGUAAAAUAUGAAUAUAUUGCCAGUGCUGUUCCGAUUGUACUCCCACGUCAUAUGCUUUUUUAUGAACGAGAUACCCGACGUCAUAGAACAAUGACGUUAGAAUGUAAGCAUUUUACGGGAAAAUACACGCUUGUGAAUCCGAAAAUCAUCACAAGGAAACAUACACAAAUGAUGCUAAAAUGUGGCAAAAGCCCUUUAUUGUACAUCAUAUAAGACAUAUAAAUAAAUUAUCAUUCAAAUUC
rnacentral:lncRNA from 1 species